rnacentral:ncRNA from 1 species
GCCUCAGGUGAGGCCGCUGGUUCCUGUCUAUGACAGGCGAAGAGGGAAUGCGCUAGGCCGGGAAACCGACCGAAGCACAGCCGCCCCCGCGACCGUGACCGGAGAGGUUUGCCGCAUGCCACUGGCCUUGUGCCGGGAAGGUGGGUGAACCGUCGAGGCCCUCGCUUUGGGUUUCGGGAUCCGCAAGCCGGGAGACCUGCCAGCAAGAUAUGUAACGG